GGGGAAUUUUGGACAAUGGGCGCAAGCCUGAUCCAGCCAUGCCGCGUGAGUGAAGAAGGCCUUCGGGUUGUAAAGCUCUUUCGGCCGGGACGAAAUCGCACGGGUUAACACCGCGUGUGGAUGACGGUACUGGAAUAAGAAGCACCGGCUAACUACGUGCCAGCAGCCGCGGUGAUACGUAGGGUGCGAGCGUUAAUCGGAAUUACUGGGCGUAAAGCGUGCGCAGGCGGUUUUGUAAGCCAGAUGUGAAAUCCCCGGGCUUAACCUGGGAACUGCAUUUGGGACUGCAAGGCUAGAGUACGGCAGAGGGGGGUAGAAUUCCUGGUGUAGCAGUGAAAUGCGUAGAUAUCAGGAGGAAUACCGAUGGCGAAGGCAGCCCCCUGGGUCGAUACUGACGCUCAUGCACGAAAGCGUGGGGAGCAAAC
rnacentral:rRNA from 1 species